GUAACCCCAGAGUGCAGUCUGGACGAUGGGGCGGGGCGACACUUCGAGGCGGAGCGACACGUGUCGCCCCGCCCAUAUUUGUUUUCCCCGCCUUUGACAUGUUCCUCCGAGCCAGCAGGGGGCAGUUUGCGUUGAAACAAACAGAACGGUGGCAACUACAGCAGCAGAGUAAUAACGCUAUUCCGUUGAUUGCUUGAGGUGAGUAAAAGUGGUUGUGUAAAUAUUUUAUAAUAUGAAAUGCGAUGUUCGAUCAUUUAUUUAUCCAUGGUACGUUCAAUUUGAAUAAUUAUUGUUAAUAAUUGUUAUAAAUUGCAAAUUUUAUUUUUCUUUGUGUAUUGUAACAGUACACUCUGUACAUGGCUUUAGUUCAUAGGUUCGAUUUUACAGAGGUAUGGCAUCACAUUUGUCAAGUUAUUUGAACAGACAUGCAUGAUUUUUGUGUGUAUAUUAUUAUUAUUAUUAUUAUUAUUAUUCAGGAUGACAUGAUCAGGAGGUGGUGGUGUUCUGUUCUCCUGUACAGUUUCACUCCGCAAAUAGCUCAACCACUGAGGAGAACUUCACCAUUCACCAUGUCUUCAGGCAGAGUCCAGCAAAGCAGCUUCCCCUGGAAAUCCUCAGGGAAGUUAUUUUGUCGGCGAGUGACUCUGCAUAUUUGACACUUUCUCUGGUUUGCAGAUGGUUUAGGGAUGUGCGCCGAAGUUUUUCGGAAAGUGGCACAGUUUGCCUGGCUAGACAGAACGAGUUCAGACGGAUGUACAGCAUCAGGGAACGCUUGCAGUGCAGAGCCCUUUUCAAGUUUAACCCCCCAGGGUACAGGGAAGAGACCGGCGUGGUGAACUUCUGGGCUUUUGUUUACACAGGAUUUUGUUCCAAGGACUGUUUUUUUUUUUUUUUUUUUUUUUUUUUUUGCGGCAUGAAACACAUUUGUGUGUUAAGUUCAUUGAAGGGAAAUAGAGAAUGGACUGAGAUCAACUGGUUUUGAUGUAUUAAUUGAUUUCAUUUAAAGUUAAACUUUGCAGUGUAUAAUGUUUUAAUAAAAAAGCUAUGGAAAACA